GACGAACGCUGGCGGCGUGCUUAACACAUGCAAGUCGAACGGAAAGGCCCUGCUUUUGGGGGGUGCUCGAGUGACGAACGGGUGAGUAACACGUGAGUAACCUGCCCUUGACGUUGGGAUAACUUCAGGAAACUGGGGCUAAUACCGGAUAGGAGCUCCUGCUGCAUGGUGGGGGCUGGAAAGUUUCGGCGGUUGGGGAUGGACUCGCGGCUUAUCAGCUUGUUGGUGGGGUAGUGGCUUACCAAGGCUUGGCGGGGUAGCCGGCCUGAGCGGGUGACCGGACACGUUGGGACUGGGAUACGGCCCGGACUACUCCGGGACGCAGCGGUGGAGAGGAUUGCAUAAUGGGCUGAAGCCUGAUGUAGCAACGCCGCGUGGGGGAUAACGGACUGCGGGUUGUAAACCGCUUUCGCCUGUGACGAAGCGUGAGUGACGGUACUGGGUAAAGAAGCUCCGGCUAACUACGUG
rnacentral:rRNA from 1 species